CCAAACUUAUUUUUCCUGGCACAAUCACCAGCCAUGAUGAUAUAGUAGAUUCUGGCUCUAGGUUGCAAUCUGAAUAUGGGCAGCAGGUGGCAUUAGGCUGUCCUGGAAACAUUCACAUACCAUUUUGAAGUAGAUUUCAAAUCACUACUGACGCACAUAUUGCUGCCUGGGAACUUCUUAUUUAAUCUGAUGUCUUGUCUCUCACCCACUAAUUUAUAUCAAUCCCUUUCUUUCCAUUCACACUUUAAAUCAAACACGGGUGUCUUUUUAAGGGCUUUAAGUGGCAGGGAAUCCACAGCAUUUAGCGUUUGUAGUGAUUAAUUACCACUGCUAUUUAGAGUCACACCUACAUCUAAGUUUGAAUGUGCCUUUGAAGUUUGCAUUCAUCGGGUUUCGUUAGAACAUUUUUGUUUUAAUAUAAAAGCAUUUUGAUAACAAACCUCUUGCCAUAUUACUCAGUGUGCUUAAACACUGACAAGUGCCACAGGAGUGGAGAUGGCUUCCGACCACCUGAGAGUCACGGUGAAGAAAUUCUCACUCAAGGCUGCCAGCCAGAGACUAUGCUUUCCACCAGUGUUUCUUAUCUUGUGUGGCCCUACCAAAAUGCACAGUCCAAGCUACAGCAUGGUUCUGGGCUCUAUUCCCAAGCCUGUGAAUGUGAGAGAUGCUGGAGGUGUGAAGUGGGAAGUAGGAACCUGGGGUGCUGGAGUUCUGGCACUUCUGAUGAGGACAGCAGCUGAGGUCUAGGAAGAUUCAAACACAGAAAGAGAAAAAGAAAGAAGAAUCUGAAUAGAGCAACACUUGAAAACUAAAUAUGUGAUGGCUUAGAGACAAA